UCAAAUGUCCAUCCAUCCCUAUCCUAAGUUGCUCUGGGACCACACAUUAAUUUGCUCCUGAAAUUGAUUAAGAAAACAAUUGUCAGUGACAGAAUUUAUUCACACGGAGUCAGCUCUACUUUAUCGCUGAAUAAGGAAGGGAAUAGCUUAAGGAAGCUGGGAAAUAGCCCAAAACAAACGUCAAAUUCCCUGUCCUUCCAGGAAGAGGAACAGAAGAACCAGUUCCUGCUGGCCUUGGAGGCUCCACGCAGGGAAGAGAGUAAAUGGAGACGGUAGUAAGUGGUUCACAGCAGGGGAUAACAUCAACAAGACUUCCAAAACAGAUUUUCACGCAGCAAAUCUCUGGUGAGAGUAACCCAGGA
rnacentral:lncRNA from 10 species